UACGUAGGGGGCAAGCGUUGUCCGGAUUUAUUGGGCGUAAAGAGCGUGUAGGCGAUUUGGUAGGUCCGCUGUGAAACUCGAGCUCAACCUCGAGACGCCGGUGGAAACCAUCAGACUAGAGUCCGGAAGAGGAGAGUGGAAUUCCUGGUGUAGCGGUGAAAUGCGCAGAGUAUCAGGAAGAACACCCGUGGCUAAGGCGGCUCUCUAGUACGGUACUGACGCUGAGACGCGAAAGCGUGGGAGCGAAGCAGG
rnacentral:rRNA from 1 species